rnacentral:rRNA from 1 species
AUGCACGCUGGCGGCGUGCCUCAUACCUGCCAGUCGCGCGAACAGACGAGGAGCUUGCUCCUCUGACGUUAGCGGCGGACGGGUGAGUAACACGUGGAUAACCUACCUAUAAGACUGGGAUAACUUCGGGAAACCGGAGCUAAUACCGGAUAAUAUAUUCAACCGCAUGGUUCAAUAGUGUAAGACGGUUUUGCUGUCACUUAUAGAUGGAUCCGCGCCGCAUUAGCUAGUUGGUAAGGUAACGGCUUACCAAGGCAACGAUGCGUAGCCGACCUGAGAGGGUGAUCGGCCACACUGGAACUGAGACACGGUCCAGACUCCUACGGGAGGCAGCAGUAGGGAAUCUUCCGCAAUGGGCGAAAGCCUGACGGAGCAACGCCGCGUGAGUGAUGAAGGUCUUCGGAUCGUAAAACUCUGUUAUUAGGGAAGAACAAAUGUGUAAGUAACUAUGCACGUCUUGACGGUACCUAAUCAGAAAGCCACGGCUAACUACGUG